GACGAACGCUGGCGGCGUGCUUAACACAUGCAAGUCGAACGGAAAGGCCUCUUUCGGGGGGUACUCGAGUGGCGAACGGGUGAGUAACACGUGAGUAACCUGCCCUUGACUUUGGGAUAACUUCAGGAAACUGGGGCUAAUACCGGAUAGGAGCUCCUGCUGCAUGGUGGGGGUUGGAAAGUUUCGGCGGUUUGGGAUGGACUCGCGGCUUAUCAGCUUGUUGGUGGGGUCGUGGCUUACCAAGGCCUUGGCGGGUAGCCGGCCUGAGAGGGUGACCGGCCACAUUGGGAAUUAGAGACGGCCCAGACUCCUACGGGAGGCAGCAGGGGGGAAUGGUGCACAAUGGGUGGAGGCCUGAUGCCGCAACGCCGUGUGCGGGAUGACGGCCUUCGGGUUGUAAACCGCUUUCGCUCAUGACUAAGCUUGGUGUGACGGUAGCGGGUAAAGAAGCACCGGCUAACUACGUG
rnacentral:rRNA from 1 species